GCUAGGUGUGGUGGCACAAGCCUGUAAUCCCAGUUACUCAGGAGGCUGAGGCAGGAGGAUUACAAAUUUGAGGCUAGCGUGGGCAAAUGAGAUCCUGUCUCAG
rnacentral:sRNA from 1 species